GUAAGGAACAUUGCGCCUCCGUUAGCAUCAUUUGUUUUCUAAAAGUAUAGUUGUCACAGCAGCAUUUCAACUCGCGAAAGAUUACUAAUGUUAACAUGAAAAAUACUUUUGCCUUUUCCUUUUACUUUUCCUGUAAUUUUUUUUUUAUUUUAUCAUUUCUCUGUUGGGUUUAUGGAAGCACUUAGCAAUUUUAAAUCUCAUAGCUAAGAGAUAAAAUAGAAUAUUAUGAAACCUUUUAUAACACAAAACAGGAAGCUGAUCACUUGCUUGCAAGUAAAUUAAAGCUUAUCCUAUGCUAACGUUUUAC
rnacentral:misc_RNA from 1 species